rnacentral:rRNA from 1 species
AACGAACGCUGGCGGCAUGCCUAACACAUGCAAGUCGAACGAACCCUUCGGGGUUAGUGGCGCACGGGUGCGUAACGCGUGGGAAUCUGCCCUUUGCUUCGGAAUAACAGUUAGAAAUGACUGCUAAUACCGGAUGAUGUCUUCGGACCAAAGAUUUAUCGGCAAGGGAUGAGCCCGCGUAGGAUUAGGUAGUUGGUGGGGUAAAGGCUUACCAAGCCGACGAUCCUUAGCUGGUCUGAGAGGAUGAUCAGCCACACUGGGACUGAGACACGGCCCAGACUCCUACGGAAGGCAGCAGUGGGGAAUAUUGGACAAUGGGCGCAAGCCUGAUCCAGCAAUGCCGCGUGAGUGAUGAAGGCCUUCGGGUCGUAAAGCUCUUUUACCAGGGAUGAUAAUGACAGUACCUGGAGAAUAAGCUCCGGCUAACUCCGUGCCAGCCGCCGCGGUAACAC